GACGAACGCUGGCGGCGUGCUUAACACAUGCAAGUCGAACGGAAAGGCCCUGCUUUUGUGGGGUGCUCGAGUGGCGAACGGGUGAGUAACACGUGAGUAACCUGCCCUUGACUUUGGGAUAACUUCAGGAAACUGGGGCUAAUACCGGAUAGGAGCUCCUGCUGCAUGGUGGGGGUUGGAAAGUUUCGGCGGUGUGGGAUGGACUCGCGGCUUAUCAGCUAGUUGGUGGGGUAGUGGCUGACGAAGGCUUUGACGGGUAGCCGGCCUGGGAGGGUGAACGGCCUCAUGGGGCCUACGGGACGCCCCAGACGCCUACGUUAGGCAGCAGUGGGGAAUAUUACGCAAUAGGCCGAAGUCUGAUACAGCAGUGCCGCGUGCGUAAUGACGGCCUUCUAGGGAUAAACCGCUUUGGCCUGAGACGUGGCGGUAGUGACGGUAAUUGGUAAAGAAGCACCGGCUAACUACGUG
rnacentral:rRNA from 1 species